CCGUCUGGAGAGCCGCGCAGCCCCAGCCUCCCUCCCCGCGCGGCGGGUCGGCGCGCGCUCCGAGGGCCGGGAGUCGAGGAGCCCAGCGCCCGCACACCCCCGCCCGGGAUUGGCCCGCCCCGCAGUCAUUCAGCGCCGACACGUCAGGACAGCCGCUCCCUCCCUCCUCCCGCCCCCUUCUCCCCGCGCUUGGCAAGAAAAGCGGGCAACGUGGAGCGGGAACAAAGGACCCCGCGGCCCCCGGCUAUCGGGGACGCGGUGCUGCCCCCCUCCAAGCGGGAGCCCCGAUGCAGCCCGGGGCCGGCUCCCCGCCCACACGCGCCGGGGCCCGGGAGGUCUCACGGAGUGGAGUCCAGAGCCCGGGCGGACCCACACACGAGGCGUCGGUCCCUGACAGCGGGAACCGAGAUUCCCGCGCCCUCCUUCCUGCAGGUCGUCCCAGCCCCGCGGCGCCCGGUCCCCGGCCCCCGAGGACCCCUCAAGCAAAAACUUCCCGUUCUUCCCGCCUGGCUUCCCCUGCCCCAGCGGAGAGAGGGGACGCGAGCCCCAGCGCUCUCCGAGGCGACCGGCACCCGCCCUCGGCCGCCAACGCGACCCGGCAACCAUGGCAGCGCCGGGAGCGCGGGGCCCGCGCGGCGCCGGCUCCUCGUCCCCAGAGAGCGGCGGCGGCGGCGGCUUGGGGCGUCCUCCCCCCGGCGCCAGGACAGCGCUCCGCGCCUCCCACCCUGUCCCCGACCCCCGCUCGCCAUUCCUCAGCUCGAACCAGCGCGUAAUACCUGGUUCAUCUCUAAAGAGAUGGAAAAACUCAUCUCUGGAGCUUCGAAGGGGAGAAGGAAGCGGGCGGGAAUCGGCCCAACGAAAAGCGCCUCGAGGCGGCGGAGUGCGGGAGUGACCGAGCGGCAGGGCGAGCGGUCAGCCCGCAGAGGCUGCGAGGAGGCGGGAGCGCCAACGAGGGUUCGCGGGGACUCGCUCGCUCGCUGGCACAGCCGCGCCAAAGCAGCAGGCGGAGAAACUGCCCAGCAGCUGGCAGCGACCGACCUCCACGCGCGUCCCGGAGACACUGCCGCUGCCGCCGCCCGCUCGCGCCGCACCCCCUCGCACGUCACCACGUGCGCCGCCGCCGCCGCCGCCGCCGUCGCCGCCGCCGCCAACGCCUCCCAGACGCUUCCGGCUCCAGUCCGUCCGCGAAUCACAGGCGAGGACCAGAAAGAUAUCGCGCGCGGCCCCGCCCCCGCGCGCGCCCCCGCCCCUUCUCGCCCCGCCCUGCCCCGCCCUUCUUCUUCUUCUCUGAUUCCUUACUGCACCGCUCAACUAGGUCAACGCAAGGUGAUCUCCGGGAGAGAGGCAGUGCUCUGA
rnacentral:lncRNA from 1 species